rnacentral:rRNA from 1 species
AUGAAUACAAUCUUAGAAUAUCACAUUUGUGUCAUACACUAUGGGGAUGGUGAGAAGAGAUAUAUUUUACAUCCCGGAGGGGCUAUAAUUGGAGAUACUAUAGUUUCUGGUACAAAAGUUUCCAUAGCAAUGGGAAAUGCCCUACCUUUGAGUGUGGUUUGA